UCCUAUUUCUAUGACCACCCUGAAUGCGUCCAAUCUUGUCAGAUCUUGGAAGUUAAGCAGGACUGGGACUGGUUAGUACUUGGAUGGGAUAUGGCAAUUGGUGAAUGAU
rnacentral:rRNA from 1 species